AUUAAAAAAAAAAAACCCUAAACUAGUCUCUGAUUUCUAACCAGAUCUCUCACCUUCUCUGUCACUCUCUCCCUUUGACUCCCAAACCCUUACCUUCAACCCACCCCUCUCUACCGCCGAUCCUCCUCACCCUAGCCCUAGCCUAGAUUUUUCACACUCACUCAAUUCUAAUUUGAAAUUUUCUUGUUUUUUUUUUUUUUUUUUUUUUUUUUUUUUUUUUUUUUUUUUUUUGAAGGAUUACGUUGCCGGAUGGGACUGUGAAGGAAGGGAAGAAGUGGGUGACAUGCGAGAGAGAUUUCGAAGAGUUUGGCUGCCAGCGCUUUGAUUUCUGAGGUCAAUGGGGUUCUCUGGGACAUGUCUAGGCCUCUGGAGUCUGAUUUUGAGCUCAAGCUCUUCACUUUUGAAUCCGACGGAGGCUGCGACACUUUCUAGCACUACAACGCUCACAUUCUCGGCAAGUCGCUUGAGCAAGAGUAUGGGUGCAUGUCAUGUGUUUGAGGAAAUUUCUCUUUGACCGCGAGUCACCGCAAAGGCGAAUCGGAGCUACGAAGAUUGAGUUGGAUCAAUCUCACCGUGUUUGAAUUGGCGACCGAGGCGUCUCUCUCCGCAGAGUGAAAGUUCGUCAUUCUGUUAUUAAUUCGUAUAAUUUUAUACUAGUUUCUUUCAAUUGAUCGUGUUUUGAGUGGCUCUGUUUUUUUAUAAAUUAGUUCUUUUUAGGUAAUGUAAUUAUCGAUUUUGCUUUUAUUUUUGUGUUCGUUAGAUUUUUUUUGGUUUCUGAGAAAAUUCAGCAGAGGAGAGAGAAACUGAUUUGAAAUCUUACAUUUUCUGGUCUAGUUGCCUAGAUAACGAAAUUUAAAGUUUCUUUUUCUCUGGAACGAUUGCACGGAGAAUAUAAGGUUUCAAAGCUCUGGAUUCCGUUUUCCCUUUUACGCUAGGUUUCUCAGUGGCCAAACAGUACACUAGGGUCAAAUUGAUGAAAUUGGAUAAUUUAGAGUGUCAUUGUUUCCUUCUGUGCCUGCGUGUGUGAAAGUGAAUUUUGGUUGAGCUAUGGUUGUGUAUGAAAUUGAAUUGCAAUGCGUGGAUUGCUGUGGAUGUUAUUUUUGGUUGAAGUAAUUGUGGGAAUUUCGCAUUCAAUCUGUAUCUUAGUUUUUCCGGUCAUUGCUGAUUUAUGCUCCAUUCAAAGUUUUUUCUGCUAGAUUAUGGCUGAUUUAUGCUCCUUUCAAGGUUUUUUCUGCUAGAUUAUGGUUGUUUAAUUUCAAUUAGUGUGGUGAUAUGGUUGUCUUGGUGCAUUUUCUGUGUUAAUUAUAUACUGUUACAUUUUUGAAUGUUUAGUUUAUUUUUACAUGUUGUAUGCUAUUUAAAUGUACGUGGGAACGCGAGUUACAUCAUGCGUUUGACGCGUGUGGUGAUUUCUUGUUUCAGUAGAUUUUUUUUAAUUUUUUUUUUUUGGGUUUGUCAUUGUGUGAUAUCAUUAUCGAUGCUGUUGUUUGCAGUUGAUAUUUUAUGUGGCAAAUAUCAUUUGUAGUUUUGCGAGCAUUUUAGGAACUUCUUCCAUUAUGUGCAUUCUGGUUGGAAGUCAAUAAAGCAGUUCCUUAGUAGGGUUGAUAUUGCUCCAGUAAUCUUUCUAGGAAAAACUCUUUGUUGGUAAGGAGGCACCAGCGUUUCAUUUGACUUUGAUUUCGUUAAAUUAAAUAUUAUUAAGCAGAUAUGGUAGUUGAAAUUAUGUCUGCUUUCGGUGUAUUGAAUUUUUUAUUAAUGGAGAAACUGACACCGCAACUGAAAUUAUGUCUGCUUCCUUGAAGGUGUUAUGAAAUAAUUACAUUGCAUCAUGAGAGUAUUGUGUUUGGAAACAACUCAUUAUUCAGUGGGGGUAUUAUUAGGAUUGAUUUAAUUAACAAAGAGUGAACCUUUUUAAUGGCAAUGGCAUAGGGAAUUUAGAAACACACCCUAAUUGUUUGUGUUUUUUUCUUUUUCUGGCUAAUAUGUUUCAAUAUUGUGAACCUCUAAUUAAGAUGAGGAUGGAAAAAUGGGGGAAGGAAGUAAACUACAAAUAUGAUCAGAACAAACAUGACAUCAAGUAGUGGAAAAAAUAACUUUGGAAGUCGGGGUAAAAUGGCUUUUUUUAUUUGGAAGUAGCUUUAUGGACACAUAAAGAGUUACUGCAAAUAUAAAUAGAACGAAUGUGAAUUCAUGAAGCAACUUACUGACUUAGGAAGCUGGGGGUGAAAAAGC